GGGUUGUUCUUUUGCUAAUAUUCGAAGUGAGCCACGUAUGUUUGGGUUGUUCACAAUGUAAUUUAAUUAUUUUUGAAAAUAAUAUGUUACUUUUUGAUAUACGUUCUUGUUUGGAUGUUGUAGUCGUGUAUUUGGUGUCUUUUCUGGUAAAUAUAUGCAACUGUCAGCAUAAACAGGUUUGUAUGGGAUAUAUAGUACCGAUGGCCACCGAUCGAUAUGCGGCAUGCCGAUAUGGCCAUAAGCCCAUAACUAAACAUUUUAUAUAUAAAUCAGCAUGAAAUAUUUGUCUGACUUUUCCAAUCAUACACUUGGAUAUAUAAAAUGAUGAAGAGCACUUUGUUGCCAAAGGCCCAAAGCAACACAACCUUAUUAAGUUGCAGGGUCCUCCUUGGAAUUAUCCUUCUUGGAAGAGGUUUUGACACUUGUGGGACAGUGAGGGACACCAUUUAUAAAUUGAUAGACAUGAUUUCUUUUGGUAAGAGAGAAACAAAAGGUUGUAUUUUAUGCAUGGUUCAAUUUUUCCAGUUACCAUUCCCCUGCUGGGGAAAUGUACACCAACACUUCCCGGGGGUGGGGAAUUUUGUUGAGCGUCUGGUCCCGGGGGCGGCCUGUGGGGGUAGGGAAUAAAGUAUAAGAUAAGGCAUCGAUCAUUAUACCAUAUUGGUUAUUAAGGCAUUUGCUCUAUACUCUUUGCACAUACUUGCCAUAUUUAGCUUGUAAAUUUAGCUUGUAAACAAGUUUUUCUCUGCUGCUUACUGAAGUCUCAUACUACAGGUUUCCUAUCCUCAUAGACAUGCCCAGUGUCAGCAGGUGGCUGUGGCCAUUACUUAUUCUGUGCCCAUUAUUUAUCUUCUGGCAUACAAACUGGGUCAAUGCCCAAAAUUUACAAUGUACCAUCAAGGCUCCAUAGCAUUCCCUGCCAGGGCUGUGCCAAGUGGGUUUUGGUUGGGGGGUGAAAUAAAAAAUUUGGGCUCCUCCCAUUUGGAGGCCCCCUCAAAAAUUUUUUUUCCAGAAACCAAAGAAUUUUUCCGGAAAAUACUGGGGAGGGGGGAUGCCCCAAAAUUUUUUUCAAACACUAGGUUUACCUAAUGGGGGCUUAAAUUUAGUUUUGAAGACCUUUUCAGACCAAUUUUCCAGAGACUUCCUUAAUAUUUAACACGUUCUGCUUUCCAGGGCCCCCUCUCUGCAAUUUGGGCCCUCUUUUUUACUUUUCUUUGGGGGGGGGUGAUCCACCCCAAGGGGUGGCGUGGCCCUGUUUCCUGCCUUGCAGGUACCGCUAGUAAAAUUGUAAUAUUUUUAAUAUGUCCUAGGUUACUAUCCCAAGGUUCCACUCCCUCUAAUCUUCAGUGAAUGCCACUAAGAGAAAACAAGAUAAAAUGUUAUUAAUUAAUUUAAUGACAUGACACAUUUAAAUAUAAAUGUAAUCAUUAAUUGUUUUACUGUAAAUCCAAGAUGAUUUUUAUCAUUAGCUGGAUUCAAUUAUUAACUGUUAACCUUUUCAUUAAAUAAAUGUCUAGGUGGCUGCACUCAGAAGUGAUGAUGACAGUUGCUUCCCUGAUGAGUAAGCAUUUUAAGAGUUCUCAAUUGGUUAUUUAAAUUAGAGCUGUGUGGUUCCAGAAAUUUGAUCUCGGUUCCAGUCUUUAGGAGGAUGAAAGAAUCUCUGUUUGGUAUCUGUAUUUUCAAGAGAAGAUUUGUGAGGUCGGACUCGGCAGGUACAAAACGCAGGUUGCAGGUUGGAAUUUUGCAGGUUGGGAAUUUUGCAGGUUGGAAUUUUGCAGGUUGGGAAUUUUGCAGGUUGGAAUUUUGCAGGUCGCCAGGAAUUUUGCAGGUUGAUGAUGCAAACUUAAAAUUACACCACUAUAAAGUAUUCUAGUAUAAUUUAAUAGUGUACUGAUUGCAGUCUGACUCCUUGUCGGCACUUUUAAUAUCAGCCUAUCCUGCUACCAUGUUCCUAGCUUCUGCUCUAAGGAGUGGCCAUCACCCUUGUGAAAACAUUCAAAAUGACCAGAUUGGCUUGGACCUUCAGGGGGACGGAUGUUUUGAUUGUUGCGAGGAGCCAACAUGACGUGGUGGCAGUUCAGAAAAUGCCUGAAUGAGGUGUCUCUCUUCUGCACCCACUUAUAAGAAGCCCAUUCAAGCCCCCAAUUACCAUAUCAUUAGUCGAGAGUUAGUUAACUUUUAACAAUAUUCUAGUAUAAACGCCGCCAGGUCAUGUAGGCACCUCGCCACAAUCAAAACAUUCGUUUCCCUGUAGGUUCAAGCCAAUCUGGUCAUUUUGAAUGUUUUUACGGUGAUGGCCACUAGCCUUAGUGCAGAGGCUAGGAACAUGGCAACAGGGUAGGCUGAUUAGCUGAUAUCAAAAGCGCCGACAAGGAGUCAGACUGCAAUAAAUGCACAACUAAGUUAUACUAGAAUACUAAAAAAGUGGUGUAAUUUUAAGUUUGCAUUAUCAACCUGCAAAGUUCCUGGCAACCUGCAAAACUCCAACCUGCAAAAUCCCCAACCUGCAAAAUUCCAACCUGCAAAAUACCCAACCUGCAAAAUUCCAACCUGCAAAAUUCCCAACCUGCAAAAUUCCAACCUGCAACCUGUAACCUGCGUUUUGUACCUGCCGGGUCGGACUCAGCAUCUAGUUUGACAAAUGGAAAUGCAUAUAUAUUUCUUUGUUUAAUUUCUUUGUUCUUCAACCUCCAUAUAAUUUAAUCAUUUUGAUCACUACACAUGCAAUUGUGCAGGGCCGUAGGAAGCUCUUUUUGAUUGGGGGCCCCCCAGGGCCGUAGGAAGCUCUUUUUGAUUGAGGGCCGAAGGCAGGCCCAAGGAAAUUUUUAAAUUUAGAGUUCUAAAAUGCCAUUUCCUCGACUUUGGGGAAGACGGUUUGACAGAAUUCUGAUAGUCAGAAAACAGCAUUUUAGUAUGUUGAAAUUUACAAUUUAGUAGUACUAAAUGAGCGAAGGCAUAUUAUAAGUUGCAGGAAAGUAUGGGUAAUAUCUUCAUUCUUUGCAGUUUGUCACAGAUUAAAUGAUAAAGGCUGCAUGAUUUUGAAAAAAAAUUAUUAUUAGCAAAUUAUUGUAGGGAGUACGCUAUUAGUUGCUAUGGCCCUGUUGUGCAAUACAGUACAAGUAAAAUUAAUAUCUACUGUACAGGUGUGGCAUAAAUGAAUUUUGCUGUGAUGGUGAAUGUUGUUCAAACUUUUCAAGAAACUGGUUUGGAUGG